AACGCUUUCGUGCCACUAACACCGGCCCCGAAAGGAAGCAAAGUUGGGAGGCUCAGUCGCGGCGUGGGCCCGUGCAGCCCUCCUGGCCCCCCGCGGGCCGCGCUCGGGGCUCCCUCAUGCUCGUGCCCUUAAACUGCGCCAUCAUUUCUUCUCUUGAGCAAAGUGCUUCGUCAUUCCUCUCUGGGAGGCAGGUAGGUGAUGAAACCACGGCACAGAGAAAUGACCUGAUCUCUCCAAGGUCGUUAUGGAAGGCCGUGGCCAAACCCCACGGAGCAGAGUUUACCGGCCCGAAAUGCUUUUCCGGUGGGUGAUCUUAACCGCAGGGGAGCAGGUUCAAUGCCCCGGCGUACGGGGGUGGAGGAAGGGAUCACAGUGUCUGCGAGUGCCUGACCCCACCCGUCCCGCGUAGUAUUCACCGCUCCCUGGGCUCAAUAACUUCCAUUCUCCUAACAGAGAUGGAAAGUGCCGUCGUAUCCCUCUUUGAUGAUUUAAAAGUGUUGUGUGCCUUUUCCUCUUUCCUCUUUCUCUCCAGCCCUCGCCCUUCCCGUGCCGCUUUUCACGUUUCCAUAGUAACCACCUCUAUUGUAUCCGUGACCGUGAAGAGAAAUCUUGCAGAUGUUAGUAGAGAUCCAACACCUUCCAGCAGCUAUUUUGAUUCACAGUCUCCUUAUCUCUCGGCGCUGAUUUUCUGGUCCUUUCUUCUCCUUACAGCUGCUCGCUUUCCCCCAAGUACCUGCAAGCCCUUCAGCGUGGCUCCCUCUGUCCUGCACGAGCCUGGCUCCCGCUCGCCUCCACCCCAGCCUCGUGGAAAGCUCGGGACCACACCCGUGCCUUGGAACGUCUUCAUUCUGUGCAUUGCCCGCAGAGGGAUCAGCCACCUUUCCUUGCUGGUUCAGAGGACAGGGCAGACAUGGGAACACGCACACGCUCUCAUCAGGGCUUUGAAGACCCUCGACACCUGAAUCCCCCACCUCCCCUCUCGGGGCCAGGCUCAGCUGGCCACCUGGAAAGGCCAUCAGAAUGGGGCUUUACCGUUCCCCUCCCGAAACUGCUUGAAGAGUUCAUAGCCUACAAUCCCUCCUUGGAACCGGGCAUUAUUCUCUUGAUUACACAAGCCUGACAGCCUGAUCAUAAUAAACAUGUAACUGAAGAGAACC